UACGUAGGGGGCAAGCGUUGUCCGGAAUCAUUGGGCGUAAAGCGAGUGUAGGCGGUCUGAUAAGUCGGGUGUGAAAGCCCCGGGCUCAACCCGGGAAGUGCACUCGAAACUGCCAGGCUAGAGUAUCGGAGAGGUUGGUGGAAUUCUCGGUGUAGAGGUGAAAUUCGUAGAUAUCGGGAAGAACACCGGUGGCGAAGGCGGCCAACUGGACGAAUACUGACGCUGAGACUCGAAAGCGUGGGGAGCAAACAGG
rnacentral:rRNA from 1 species